AGAGUUUGAUCAUGGCUCAGAACGUACGCUGGCGGCACGCCUAACACAUGCAAGUCGAACGCAGUAGCAAUACUGAGUGGCAGACGGGUGAGUAACAUGUGGGAAUCUGCCUUGUGGUUCAGGACAACAUUGGGAAACCGAUGCUAAUACUGGAUAAGCCCUUACGGGGAAAGUUUUAAUGCCAUAAGAUGAGCCCGCAUUUGAUUAGUUAGUUGGUGAGGUAAUGGCUCACCAAGACAAUGAUCAAUAGCUGAUCUGAGAGGAUGAUCAGCCACACUGGGACUGAGACACGGCCCAGACUCCUACGGGAGGCAGCAGUGGGGAAUCUUGCACAAUGGAGGAAACUCUGAUGCAGCGAUGCCGCGUGAGUGAAGAAGGCCUUUGGGUUGUAAAGCUCUUUUGUAGGGGAAGAUAAUGACUGUACCCUAAGAAUAAGGUCCGGCUAACUUCGUGCCAGCAGCCGCGGUAAUACGAAGGGACCUAGCGUAGUUCGGAAUUACUGGGCGUAAAGCGCGCGUAGGCCGUUGAGUUAGUUAAUUGUGAAAUCCCAAAGCUUAACUUUGGAACUGCAAUUAAAACUGCUCGACUAGAGUUUGAUAGAGGAAAGCGGAAUACAUAGUGUAGAGGUGAAAUUCGUAGAUAUUAUGUAGAACACCAGUUGCGAAGGCGGCUUUCUGGAUCAACACUGACGCUGAGGCGCGAAAGUAUGGGUAGCAAAGAGGAUUAGAUACCCUCGUAGUCCAUACCAUAAACGAUGAUUGCUAGAUGUUGGAAAUUUAUUUUCAGUAUCGCAGCUAACGCAUUAAGCACUCCGCCUGGGGAGUACGGCCGCAAGGUUAAAACUCAAAUGAAUUGACGGGGGCCCGCACAAGCGGUGGAGCAUGU
rnacentral:rRNA from 1 species